rnacentral:rRNA from 1 species
GUGAGGAAUAUUGGUCAAUGGGCGGGAGCCUGAACCAGCCAAGUCGCGUGAAGGAAGAAGGAUCUAUGGUUCGUAAACUUCUUUUGCAGGGGAAUAAAGUGCAGGACGUGUCCUGUUUUGUAUGUACCCUGAGAAUAAGGAUCGGCUAACUCCGUGCCAGCAGCCGCGGUAAUACGGAGGAUCCGAGCGUUAUCCGGAUUUAUUGGGUUUAAGGGGUGCGUAGGUGGUUUGAUAAGUCAGCGGUGAAAGUUUGCAGCUUAACUGUAAAAAUGCCGUUGAAACUGUCGGACUUGAGUGUAAAUGAGGUAGGCGGAAUGCGUGGUGUAGCGGUGAAAUGCAUAGAUAUCACGCAGAACUCCGAUUGCGAAGGCAGCUUACUAAGCUACAACUGACACUGAAGCACGAAAGCGUGGGGAUCAAACAGGAUUAGAUACCCCAGUAGUCC